AUUGAACGCUGGCGGCAUGCCUUACACAUGCAAGUCGAACGGUAACGGGCCUUCGGGUGCCGACGAGUGGCGAACGGGUGAGUAAUACAUCGGAACGUGCCCGAUCGUGGGGGAUAACGAGGCGAAAGCUUUGCUAAUACCGCAUACGAUCUACGGAUGAAAGCAGGGGACCGCAAGGCCUUGCGCGGACGGAGCGGCCGAUGGCAGAUUAGGUAGUUGGUGGGAUAAAAGCUUACCAAGCCGACGAUCUGUAGCUGGUCUGAGAGGAUGAUAAGCCACACUGGGACUGAGACACGGCCCAGACUCCUACGGGAGGCAGCAGUGGGGAAUUUUGGACAAUGGGCGCAAGCCUGAUCCAGCCAUGCCGCGUGCAGGAUGAAGGCCUUCGGGUUGUAAACUGCUUUUGUACGGAACGAAAAGCCUUCUUUUAAUACAGGAGGGUCAUGACGGUACCGUAAGAAUAAGCACCGGCUAACUACGUG
rnacentral:rRNA from 1 species